rnacentral:rRNA from 1 species
GACGAACGCUGGCGGCGUGCCUAAUACAUGCAAGUAGAACGCAGUUGCGAACGGGUGAGUAACGCGUAGGUAACUGCCUCAUAGCGGGGGAUAACUAUUGGAAACGAUAGCUAAUACCGCAUACUGUGAGAUGGACCUUCGUGGUAUUAGCUAGUUGGUGCGGUAAAGGCUCACCAAGGCGACGAUACAUAGCCGACCUGAGAGGGGGAUCGGCCACACUGGGACGGAGACACGGCCCAAACUCCGACGGUAGGCAGCAGUAGGGAAUAUGUGGCAAUGGAUGGAAGUCUGAACGAGCAACGCAGCGUGAGUGAAGAAGUUUUUCGGAUCGUAAAGCUCGGUUGUUAGAGAAGCGGUAAAUAACCAGAAAGGAACGACUAACUACGUGCCAGCCGCCGCGGUAAUAC